CUUGAAUGGCUGCUGUGCUAGAAAUAAACAAUAAAAAUGUUUCUCUAAAUGAGCAGUUUUGUCUUAAUGAUCACCUAAUAAAGGAUAAACAGAGACUUUGGCCUCAUCAAUAGCUGUAAGACUCCUGGCAGGGAUAGAGUACAGAUGUGAAGUGUAGUCAGCAAAUAAUGUAAUUAGGACUGUCCUCCCAGCAUAUAGACAUGUGAAGGUCAC